rnacentral:tRNA from 1 species
GGGAAGGUGGCUCAGUGGUAGAGUGCUUGCCUUGUAUGCAUGAAGCCCUGGGUUCAAUUCCUCAUCAUA